UCCAACAUCUUGCUUUCAACCCUAGCUUAAACUUGAGCAAAAAUCAAAAGAGAAAGAGUUCGAGUUAGUGAGAAAUUUUCCUCCAAUCUAGUGCUUGAUUCAAGCUUGAAGUUCUCACUUUUGGUGGAUUGAUUUGGUGGCUCAAGCAUCUUACAAGAAAGGUAAGUACACUUUAAAUGGUAGUUUUAUGGUAAUAUAUCAUGUGCAUCAAAGUGUUAAUGGCAAACUACAAGUUGUUUGAUUGAGAUUUAGAGUAAUCUCUUGGAAUAAACCAAAGAGUAGUUGAGUUAUGUGGCAUGCCUACCAAGUGUUUGAUGAAAUGUUUGCACUUUGGUCAUGGUUAUUUAUGAGGUGUGUGAUCCUUAAUCUUUGGUUCUAUUGUGUUAUAUGAAGUACUUAACGCCUUGAGGGCAAACUAGAGGUUGCCCUAAACUAGAAAUUGUGGUUAAAACUCUUGAACUAAACAAGUAGUAAGUGAGUUAGUAAGUGUGCAUACCAAAAGUGUUUGAUGAAAUGUCUAACCCUUGUUCAUGUGUGUUUAUGAGGUAUUAAUAUGAUUUAAACCCCUAUUUGGUUAGAUCUAACACUUGUUAGGUGCAAGGAGUGAGAAUAUCAAGAAGGAUGAAAGUUAGAAAUUUUUGGAAGAGGGCUGGCCGAAAUUUCCCAUAACUUACUGCCCUGGUUUUCCAUGAUAUUUUCAUGCAUAUUUUCGCUACAAAUGUGACUGAUAUAUGUUGGGUUAUAUGUGUAGAGGUUGUCUACAAAAAAUUAGCCAAUUUGAUUGCAUAAGUUAUGAGUUAUAAGCCAAGGAGCAAAACUGGACUGGGUCCAGAAAGUUACUGACCAGCAGUCUUGUGAAGGUCAUAACGUUUUACUCGGUGAUCGGAUUUGAGUACCGUUUGUGGCAUUUGAAAAUAGAUUCGUAGAGCUUUAAAAUGGUACCAAGAUCAUUUUCUGGUUUGAACCGAACGAUUCGGGGCGAGUCUUGAAAGUUGGCUGUCCGUGCGGUACUGUUCACCCGCGACAGCCCAGAAAUUUCUUUUGGUUUCUUAAUUUUGAACCACUUACGUUGGAAUUUUGGAAAUGGUUUCUUCUAGACAAAUAUAGCUUUGUGAACCUAGUUUCCAACGCCACUGAUAGAACCUAAUUCUGAUUUUUCCACAAUGAGCAAUAACCAUUUUCCCGAGGUUGGUCGGGCGUGACAGUUUAACCGUAAUGAAACUUUUGAGCUUCGGUGAAACUCUUCUUUUUCCGAACUUUCAUGUACAUACCAAACUUGUUUUCUUAUCAACUUUUCCGAUGGUUUGGACCUCAUUUGCAUGAUAGAUUAAGUAGUUUAGGCUACUCACUUGGUCUCUUAAUGAACCUAUACUUUAGUAAGGAACGAAUCCAAUUGUUAAUGGUUUCGCUCGUUGACUUAGGUUUGGGCAACGAAGGUGAUCGUAACUGAGACGUUUGACGUCAAUUGCUACUUUUCCUUGACAGG
rnacentral:lncRNA from 1 species